rnacentral:lncRNA from 1 species
CCAAUAUUUGAAUGUUAAUGGAUUUGAUUCGGGCCCGCAACUUAGGUACUGAAAUGUUCUGACCAUAUCACCCUUACUAACUAGUCGUAAUUUCUUAAUACCAUUUUGACACUUUAAGCGUCUACACGGAAUACGCCGCCACCGCCGCCGUAUCGGAGCUCCAUCGGCCACCGCCUUUUGACAAACCCGCUAUGUUCCAAACUUUGGGGUUCAUAUGCAUGAACGUGUAUAUGUUCGUGUAUCAAAAAUGAUGGCUUAUAAAUCCACGAAGCGUUUAUUUAAUAACACAGGUUCUGAAGUUUUUUCUUCGGCAAUUUUUCCUUUUUGAGUGAAAAAUAUUUUCUGGAAAAAUAUUUAUUAUGAUUUAUAAUGAUAUUAGCAAAUUGGAUAGUGAUGAAACUUUGAGACUGAGUAUUAAAGAUUUAUAAUAAUUCCAUGUGUUAGUUGGAGCUAGUAAUAGGAAUUUAAGAGUUGAGAUAAUUGUAAAGAAAAAUGUUUGUUGUCAGCAGCAUAGUUUUGUCCUUCUAGCAUAGAGUGUUAAUCAAUGUAGACAAUCCAGCUAGUUUGAGAUUGAUAGCAGAUAUCAUUGUAGAGUAUCAUCCAUUUUGUUUAAUAGAGUAGAAUUGAUGUAAAUGAUUCAUAUAGUGGAACGACCUUUACUAAUUUGGAACCAAUGGGUAGUUGAUUAAUUGAUAAAGUAUUCGCCCGUUCUUGUAUGAGGGGUAUUGAAGGGGAGAGCACGGUAAAGUUGUUUUAGUGUCACCUGGAGCUGGAGGUCACGGGUUCGAGCCGUGGAAUG